AUACUUAUUUGUUGACAAGACUAGGGCUCUUACAUAGACUGCCAUGAACUACAAGAAGUACAAGCCGGGUGCGGUGGCUCAAGCCUGUAAUCCCAGCCCAGCACGAGGUCAAGAGAUCGAGACCAUCCUGGUCAACAUGGUGAAAUCCCGUCUCUACUAAAAAUACAAAAAAUUAGCUGGGCAUGGUGGCACAUGCCUGUAAUCCCAGCUACUCAGGAGGCGGAGGCAGGAGAAUUGCCUGAACCCAGGAGGCAGAGGUUCUGGUGAGGUGAGAUCGCGCCAUUGCACUCCAGCCUGGGUAACAAGAGCGAAACUCUGUCUCAAAAAAAAAAAAGAAGUACGGCAUUGCCAGAGUAACCUGUGGACUCAGGAUUUGAAGACAAAAAGCAUUAUAUUCCAGUGGUUGAUCAAACUCUACUAGUGCCCCCACCAAUAGUGGUGGUAGUGAUGGGGCCUCCAAAAGUUGGAAAAAGCACUUUGAUACAAGGCUUCAUUCUGAACUUCACUCGGCAGAAGUUGACCGAGAUCAGAGGCCCAGCGAUGAUCGUGUCAGGUAAAAGCGCAGACUCACCAUUAUUGAAUGUGGGUGUGGCAUUAACAUGAUGAUUGAUCUGGCUAAAGUAGCAGAUCCGGAUGAGGUGGGGACCACCCAUAAGCUGGUCCAGAGUCUCACUCUACCCACUCCAUUAUUGAUGCCAAGAUGGCUUCAAGAUGAGUGACACCGUUUUCUGAUUCCAAUCCACUUGGGUCAGAGGAUAUAGAUAAUCAAGGGCUGUUGAUGCCAAAGGAGGAAAAACAAAUGGACUUGAAAACUGGUCGAAUGCGUCGGAAAGCCGUUUUUGGUGAUGAAGAUGGAUCUGGAGAUAGUGACGAUGAAGAAGGUGAUGAAAUGUCUGAAGAUGACGGGUUGGAAAACGGCUCGAGUGAUGAGGAAGCAGUAGAGGAGGAAAAUGCUGAGGUGACUGAGGAGUGUAUGACUGCUAAGGGCGUCAAACGACGGAAACUUGAGGAGUUGGAAGAAGACAGUGAAGUAGAUUUGCCAGCAUUUGCUGACAGUGAUGAUGACCUUGAGAGGAGCUCAGCAGAAGAAGGGGAAGCGGAGGAAGCUGAUGAAAGCAGUGAGGAAGAGGACUGCUCUGCAGGAGAGAAGGGCAUUUCAGGAUCAAAGGCUGCUGGAGAAGGUAGUAAAGCAGAGCUGUCACCAGCUAAUCACCAGAGUGACCGUGUGAAUCUGGAGAAGUCUUUGCCAAUGAAGAAAGCAGCCCUCGGCUGGGCGCCAUGGCUCGCGCCUGUAAUCCCAGCACUUUGGUAGGCCAAGGUAGGCAGAUCACAAGGUCAGGAGUUUGAGACCAGGCAGGCCAAUAUGGUGAAACCCUGUCUCUGAUAAAAACACAAAAACUGGGGGUGGUGGUGGACACCUGUAGUCCCAGCUACUGGGGAGGCUAAGGCAGGAGAACUGCUUGAACCUGGGAGGCAGGGGUUGCAAUGAUACGAGAUUGUGCCUUUACACUCCAGUCUGGGUGAUGGAGUGAGAUUCUGUAUCAAAAAAAAACAAAAAACAAAAAAUAGAAAGCAGCCCUCACCACUUCCAAUACUGGGCAUUACACAGCUGAAGAGGCGUUUGCAUCUGAAGAUGAAUCUGAAGAAAGCUCCUCACUCAGUGCAGAGGAAGAGGACUCAGAAAAUCAAGAGGCUCUUAGGAAAAAGCUUUUGAAGCCUUCUGAGGUGGGCAGUGGUCAGAAACUGGGGUCGAGGAACUUAAUUGAUGAGACCAGUGAUACAGAAGAUUUACUCAAAGAGGAAGAAGAUUACAAGGAAGAAAGGAAUGAUCCCACAGAAACCUCAGGUGCCCUCAAGUGAAAGGAAGACCUUUCCAGAAAGGCAGCUGAGGCCUUUCUGAGGCAGCAGCAAGCAGCUCCAAACCUCCAAAAGCUUAUUUAUGGGACAGGUAAAGAACUCUGGUUCAGAGCUGGAAACGUUUCAGUUUCUCUGAUUAUUUUCUGAAAAGGAGGUGAGAGUUGGUUGGAGGAUUGGGGUGGUAUUGUUGACAUCCAUCAUUGCUGGCCAUCACAUUUCCUAUUUAUGUCUUUAAUCAUCAGCUUAUGAGGAACGCACACUGGUCUUGUGAAGUAAACUUAUGGGUUUGCUGUAAAACUUGAUGCAAAUACUGUCCAUUGUAUCAUGUUAUGUCCCCAUUGAAAAGUCCUUCAUGAGAAAAUUUUUGGUAGAAUUUAAUGCCAGAAAAAUAUUUUUUUUGUUUAUGAGAAUAACUCUGUGCAACACAUUUUGCCCUUGUCCUCUGAUUUUAUGCUUUAUUAAACUUUCCUAUAUGUUCUUUGUGGUAGAAUUAAUGCAAAAAUAAAUUUAUAGUUGUGACCUUUAUAUUGUGCUCCCUGGUUACUGCACAAUGAGAUCAAGGCCACAUGAUGAGACAUUUGGGCUCAGCAUACUGAAAUGGGAGGGUUGUUGUGUAGUGAUUUUUAUUCAGGUUUUAUCUAGGUGCUCUUCGUAACGAGAGGCUAAACACUCUUUAAAGCUCUUCUUUAUAAUCUAAAGCUCUGCCUUUAAAUGUUCCUUUCCUCCCUUACCCUAAUAUUCUCAAUCCUUCUCAACCACUUAGCUGCUGCCAUGCAGGAGCGCAGGAGCCCCCACACAUGUAGAGCAAUAGCUUCCUGGCCUCUCUUCACCUGUGGCUGACCUGCCCUCUCAGUGCUUGACUCAUAUGUGGCCAUUGCCAUACCCCCCACAGACAGAGACCCUCAGUUCCUGAGUUCCAAGACUCAUGGCUUAAAUUGUUGGAAACAAUGAGUCCUUAGGGCUGUAAGUGUUUUUUUCUUUC